rnacentral:rRNA from 1 species
GAUGAACGCUGGCGGCGUGCCUAAUACAUGCAAGUCGAGCGAACAGACGAGGAGCUUGCUCCUCUGACGUUAGCGGCGGACGGGUGAGUAACACGUGGAUAACCUACCUAUAAGACUGGGAUAACUUCGGGAAACCGGAGCUAAUACCGGAUAAUAUAUUGAACCGCAUGGUUCAAUAGUGAAAGACGGUUUUGCUGUCACUUAUAGAUGGAUCCGCGCCGCAUUAGCUAGUUGGUAAGGUAACGGCUUACCAAGGCAACGAUGCGUAGCCGACCUGAGAGGGGGAUGGGCCACACGGGAACUGAGACACGGUCCAAACCCCUAGGGGGGGCAGCAGGAGGGAAUCUUCCGCAAGGGGCGAAAGCCUGACGGAGCAACGCCGGGUGAGUGAUGAAGGUUUUCGGAUCGUAAAACUCUGUUAUUAGGGAAAAAAAAAUGUGUAAGUAACUAUGCACGUUUUGACGGUACCUAAUCAGAAAGCCACGGCUAACUACGG